rnacentral:ncRNA from 1 species
AAAGACUUAGUCCUGACCUUACAGUUGGUUUUUGCUAGACAUAUACAUGCAAGUAUCCGCGCCCCAGUGUAAAUGCCCUCAACAACCUGCCCCCCCCCGCAGGCCUUAAGGAGCGGGUAUCAGGCACACCCAAGCAGUAGCCCAAGACGCCUUGCCAAGCCACACCCCCACGGGUAUUCAGCAGUAGUUAACAUUAAGCAAUGAGUGCAAACUCGACUUAGUCAUAGCAAAUUUCACUUUUCCCCCAAGGGUCGGUAAAUCUUGUGCCAGCCACCGCGGUCAUACAAGAGACCCAAAUCAACUGUCCUACACGAACGGCGUAAAGAGUGGUAAAAUGCUUAUCCUACCCAACUAAGAUCAAAACGCAACUAAGCUGUCGCAAGCACAAGAUGCACCUAAACACACCAUAAAGAUGAUCUUAGGGACUAGCGAUUGAUUUAAACCCACGAAAGCCAGGGCCCAAACUGGGAUUAGAUACCCCACUAUGCCUGGCCCUAAAUCUUGAUACUUACCAUACCGAAGUAUCCGCCAGAGAACUACGAGCACAAACGCUUAAAACUCUAAGGACUUGGCGGUGCCCUAAACCCACCUAGAGGAGCCUGUUCUGUAAUCGAUGAUCCACGAUCAACCCAACCGCCCCUUGCCAAACACAGCCUACAUACCGCCGUCGCCAGCCCACCUCGAAUGAGAGCACAACAGUGGACACAACAGCACCCCGCUAAUAAGACAGGUCAAGGUAUAGCCCAUGGGGCGGAAGAAAUGGGCUACAUUCCCUAUUCAUAGGGCAUGCACGGAAAGAGGCAUGAAACUGCCUCUGGAAGGAGGAUUUAGCAGUAAAGUAGGAUAAUAAAGCCCACUUUAAGCCGGCCCUAGGGCACGUACAUACCGCCCGUCACCCUCCUCAUAGGCCACAUCCCCCCAUAACUAAUACCAGUAAUAUGCCGAAGAUGAGGUAAGUCGUAACAAGGUAAGUGUACCGGAAGGUGUACUUAGAAUACU